UCUAUUUAACAGUGCGAUUAAAACUGUGAUUGUGAUUAAUUUUUUAAUUGCGAUUAAUAUUUUUGAAUUAAUCAUGUGCGUUAACUUGCAAUUAACCAACAGCCCUAAAAGUAAUUAAACAUGAUAGACUCCGAUUUUCCCUUCAUAUAUGGCUGCCAUAUGUUACAUUCUGAAAGAGUAAAGUACAAACAGGCUAUUCACCUUUCUUUUAAUAAUAAUAUUAAAAUAAAGAUAUGCUUGGAAACACCAAAAUUUGUAGACACACCUACACUGCAGCUAUAAUGUAAUUAGCCAAAGAAUUGUAAACAUGCAGAAUUACAGAUGGAUUUUCUGAAAAAAUCCCAAACUACUCAUUAAAGCUGCACAGAGGCCUUUGACUCACUUAAGUUCCCCUUUUCUUUAUCAUUAACUUCUUUAGUGUUUUUCCUGAAAGCUAAAGGAAAGAUUUAGAUUGCUUUUGUUACUUUAGGGCUGUAAUUCAAUGCUUGUAAUUUCACACUAAUGUUGAGGAGACAGUAAGGCAAAGGCAGUGUGCACCACAAAAUAUACAUUAUUCAUUUUUUUGUAGCAAGUGCAAUUUCUCUUUAAUCAUACACAAAUUGAUUAAGGAUAUUAGUAACAUUUUGAUAAUAUCUUAGUAAUUGGCAUCCUCAUUACACCAGUGUUGUGUGUGCAAAUUGUGCAUUGUCCGAUUUUGCAGGAGUCACUUGUGCACAGCUGGAAGUGUAAUGUUGUAAACUCAUUUCUUUUCUGCAGUGUUAAUAUAUUAAAAUAAUUAGCACACAUGGGCCAGAUCCUUAGCUGGUGUAAACUGACACAGUUCCAUUAGAGGACCUGGCCUUUUAUGUAUGUAGUUUAUAGCUGAAGUUAAAAAACUUCAAGUACAUUUGUGUAGUAGGUAAGAAAAGAAAGCUUGAAUUGUCUCUUCCCUUGUAAGUACCAGACAUUGUUUCUUCUAUUAAUAAGUUUUGCUCAUACUACUUUUAUUUGAAUGGCUUCAUUUGCAAAUAAAGUUGUCCAAAUGGGUUUUGUGUACAAAUUAUUGGCUUGAUCCUCUGAGGUGCUGAGCACCACCAUCUGUUGAAGUCAAUGGGGGAUGACAACAGUGAAUAAAACACAGAUGUUCAGUACCUCACAGGCUCACACCACCUAUUGCUUAUGUGCAGAAACAGAAGCUGAGUUUGGACCUGAGAGUUUCCUUAAAAUUUCUUCUACUGAAAGUCAAAACACUGUUGCUUUGAGACCUGAGCCUCAUUCAGUGGCAUGAGCUCAUGUUGUUCAGCUCAGUUUCAGACAUGUUCCCACCCCAGAAAUUAAAUACUUGUUCAGUUGAGUUUGCUCCAGGAGAAAAGUCUACCUGCCAAUUGACCUAGGCCUUGUCUGACUACACUAGAAAAAUCAGUACAGAACAAACACACUUAGGCAACCACCCCGAGGGGCAGUAGCAUUGAUGUAAGCAGGGCUGAAGUGUUUAACUAAAUGAGUCAUGAAAAUCUACCCUAUGUUUCCAUUACAGGGUGGUAAAAUACCUGAGCCCUAUCUACACUAGUGCUUUGGCCCAAGUACAGCUUUGCUGUUGUAAUGCUAGUACUGAUUUUGUAGUGUAGAUGAACCCAGAAAGUGUCUAUGAAAGGGCAUUAGAAAGGAUUGAGGCCAGAACAAACCCCCUCAGCAUCAGGCACCAUCUCCCAUAGUAAUUAUACUUAGUGUUUGUGUAUACUAGAAAGUUCUCACUUUAGCAGUACAACCACUGAGACCUAACCAUUUGUACUGGUGUAGGAGUGCUUGUAACAGUAUAGCUAUUCCCACAGGGGAAGAAUAUACAGGUAAGGCACCUUUAUACUGGUCUAACUGCAUCCACACAAGGACUUAUCAGAAAUCACAUCCCUAAUCAAAAGUUAUGCCAGUGUAACUUAAAUUUAAUUUUUACUAUAGCUAAGGCCUAGUCUAGACUAAAGAUAAAAAAUAGUUUGGAUUUGCUUUUUAAACCCUUGAAAAAGCACAAACUUGACUGAAUUUGUGAUGGAAAAAGGUGUUUUUUUAAAUGAAACAACCUGACAGUUUACAGAAAUGUUCAAGAUUUUACUGCAAACCAAUGGGUUCAGUCACCAAAAAAAAAAAAAAAAAAAAAAAAAAAAGUACAUAACCAUGUUAUAAUUACAUUACAAUGAUGGUGUACAUUACAAGCCAGGCUGUAAGUUUAAAUAUACAUCUAGAGUUUCAACUGAAUGUACAGACUUUUUUUUUUUUUUUUUUUUUUUUUUUU